rnacentral:lncRNA from 1 species
ACGCUAGUAUUCAUGUUUUUUUUGUAUAUAUAUAUAUAUAUGUAUUUUCUCUUUCUUCAGUGCUCCAGCUCCCACUGCUCCCACUGCUCCCACUGCUCCCACUGCUCCAGCUGCUCCCACUGCUCCCACUGCUCCAGCUGCACAGAAAGCCCCGUCUGCAGCACCAGAACCCAAACAGGAAGCUGCCCCUAAACCGAGCGUCACUGAAGCAGCUCCAGCCGCUCCUGCUGCACCCAAAGCUCCGUCCACAGCACCAGAACCCAAACCCAAAACCGAGCCCACUCCCACUCCUAAACCCAGUGUCAUGGAACCACUGCCAGCAAAUGCCGCUCCAGUUACUCCAGUUGCUGCUGAAACUAAAACUCCUGCUGCAGUAAAACCUGAGGCCAAAUCAGAGCCUGCUCCUAAACCAAGUGUUGUUGAGCCGGUUCCAGCUGUUCCAGUUGUUCCAGUUGUUCCAGUAGCACAGAAAGCUCCAUCCACAACACCAGAAACUAAACCCAAAACAGAGCCCACUCCCACUCCUAAACCCAGUGUGGUUGAGCCGGUUCCAGUUGUUCCAGCUGCUCCAGUAGCACAGAAAACCCCAGCACCAGCACCAGCACCAGAAACUAAACCCAAAACAGAGCCCACUCCCACUCCUAAACCAAGUGUCACUGAGCCGCUUCCAGCUGCACAGAAAACAACACCAGCACCAGAACCCAAACCCACAACACAACCCACUCCAAAAGCAAGGUUAGAUUUAUUUAUUUAAUGAUUCAGAAUGAUUCUACAUUCAUAUUGCGUCUGAUCUCUGAUUAAUCAGCC